AACACUUAUUGUGAGUCCAAGGAGAAUUGCACAAGUAGUGAGUACUGUCCAGAAAUAUCUAACGUGCUUGUUUUUUCUAAAAAUAC
rnacentral:ribozyme from 14 species